rnacentral:rRNA from 1 species
UACGAAGGGGGCGAGCGUUGUUCGGAUUUACUGGGCGUAAAGGGCGCGCAGGCGGCAGACCAAGUCAGGCGUGAAAGCCCCGGGCUUAACCUGGGAGGUGCGUCUGGGACUGGUAUGCUAGAGUUCGGGAGAGGAGAGUGGAAUUCCCAGUGUAGAGGUGAAAUUCGUAGAUAUUGGGAAGAACACCGGUGGCGAAGGCGGCUCUCUGGACCGAGACUGACGCUGAGGCGCGAAAGUGUGGGGAGCGAACAGG